UUUAUGGAGAGUUUGAUCCUGGCUCAGAGUGAACGCUGGCGGCGUGCCUAAUACAUGCAAGUCGAACGAUGAAGCUUCUAGCUUGCUAGAAGUGGAUUAGUGGCGCACGGGUGAGUAACGCAUAGGUCAUGUGCCUCUUAGUUUGGGAUAGCCAUUGGAAACGAUGAUUAAUACCAGAUACUCCCUACGGGGGAAAGAUUUAUCGCUAAGAGAUCAGCCUAUGUCCUAUCAGCUUGUUGGUAAGGUAAUGGCUUACCAAGGCUAUGACGGGUAUCCGGCCUGAGAGGGUGAACGGACACACUGGAACUGAGACACGGUCCAGACUCCUACGGGAGGCAGCAGUAGGGAAUAUUGCUCAAUGGGGGAAACCCUGAAGCAGCAACGCCGCGUGGAGGAUGAAGGUUUUAGGAUUGUAAACUCCUUUUGUUAGAGAAGAUAAUGACGGUAUCUAACGAAUAAGCACCGGCUAACUCCGUGCCAGCAGCCGCGGUAAUACGGAGGGUGCAAGCGUUACUCGGAAUCACUGGGCGUAAAGAGCGCGUAGGCGGGAUAGUCAGUCAGGUGUGAAAUCCUAUGGCUUAACCAUAGAACUGCAUUUGAAACUACUAUUCUAGAGUGUGGGAGAGGUAGGUGGAAUUCUUGGUGUAGGGGUAAAAUCCGUAGAGAUCAAGAGGAAUACUCAUUGCGAAGGCGACCUGCUGGAACAUUACUGACGCUGAUUGCGCGAAAGCGUGGGGAGCAAACAGGAUUAGAUACCCUGGUAGUCCACGCCCUAAACGAUGGAUGCUAGUUGUUGGAGGGCUUAGUCUCUCCAGUAAUGCAGCUAACGCAUUAAGCAUCCCGCCUGGGGAGUACGGUCGCAAGAUUAAAACUCAAAGGAAUAGACGGGGACCCGCACAAGCGGUGGAGCAUGUGGUUUAAUUCGAAGAUACACGAAGAACCUUACCUAGGCUUGACAUUGAGAGAAUCCGCUAGAAAUAGUGGAGUGUCUAGCUUGCUAGACCUUGAAAACAGGUGCUGCACGGCUGUCGUCAGCUCGUGUCGUGAGAUGUUGGGUUAAGUCCCGCAACGAGCGCAACCCCCUUUCUUAGUUGCUAACAGGUCAUGCUGAGAACUCUAAGGAUACUGCCUCCGUAAGGAGGAGGAAGGUGGGGACGACGUCAAGUCAUCAUGGCCCUUACGCCUAGGGCUACACACGUGCUACAAUGGGGUGCACAAAGAGAAGCAAUACUGCGAAGUGGAGCCAAUCUUCAAAACGCCUCUCAGUUCGGAUUGUAGGCUGCAACUCGCCUGCAUGAAGCUGGAAUCGCUAGUAAUCGCAAAUCAGCCAUGUUGCGGUGAAUACGUUCCCGGGUCUUGUACUCACCGCCCGUCACACCAUGGGAGUUGUGUUUGCCUUAAGUCAGGAUGCUAAACUAGCUACUGCCCACGGCACACACAGCGACUGGGGUGAAGUCGUAACAAGGUAACCGUAGGUGAACCUGCGGUUGGAUCACCUCCUUUCUAGA
rnacentral:rRNA from 1 species